CCUGAAUUCAACUCUACAUGAAUGGUCAAUGUGGGACCUUUUAAAGAUAAACGUCUUAAAUAAAACCAGUCUGACCUGUCCUGUGUUAAUCUCUAAACUAGUCUUACAGCCCGUCCCAUGCUCCUCAAGAUCCAAAUCAAUGCACUUCAAAAGAAAGCUGUAAUGUUUCUUCAACUGUCAGUUUACUGUCAGUUUUUUUUCCUCCUCAUUCAAACAGAAGGAAGCAUUAAAGUAUAAAUCAUUGAAUUUCCUUUCCGUUCAGUUUAUUAGACCUGCAACAAGACAGACAAGUCUGGAUUUAGUGCCCUUAUCACACCAUGUGAUGGGCAUACACUGAGUGGCAGCUUCGUGCUCAUUGGCCCAAAUAACUGAACAGUACACAGUAUGGAUAAAACUUAUAAGCAUGCAUUCUUGGCCAAGACAUUUAGCUCAUGUGUGAGCAAAUAACAGCAUGGGGAAGACUGAUUGUGAUUGUGAUUCCAUCUUGUCGGACAUAAAGAUCUGGGAAGUACUGAAAAGAGAGAAAAAAAGGACUGAGACAUCAGCAGUCCGGCACCGAGAAACAAAAAAAAAAGGCCCAAUAACAAGCCCGUGCAUCAGUUUCAGGAUCAAUGCUGAAAUUUGUUACAAAAGAGGAUGAAGCGGUUCUCUCAAGCACUGCUCCAGAGGGACCCAGCAGCUGCACAAUCACUGACAGUGGCCUCAACUCUUAAUCUUCAGUCUGGCAAAAGUUCCAUGAGCAUAGAGGAACCAUCACUCAAUAAAGAAGUAGAAACUGAUGUGGUGUCCCCUUUGAGGACUCUGCCAGUUGAUCCUUCUCUCUGGCUUUGUUUGUACCUUGUGGAGCACAUUCAAUGAAUCUUGUGAUAGCAGAUUCAGCCAAGGCAUCUAAGGAUGCUGUUGGUUACUUUGGUUAUGUGCAGAAACUCUUCACAUUUUUUUUCAGGAUCUACACAACGACGGAACAUCUUGUUGAAGCAUGUCCAUCUCACAUUGAAGUCUUGGAGUGAUGUUAGAUGGGAAGCAUUACAGCUGUCAGACACCAAGUGAAGGAAAUAAGAAAUGCUCUCAUUGAGGCAAGGCAAACUGUGAAUGAUCCAGUAGCCAAAGUAGAGGCUCAAGCCCUGGCAGAAGAAGUGGCUUCAUUCAGAUUUCUUAUAUGCACUUUUGUAUGGUCUUAACAAAUAUUAACCAGGUGAACAAGAUGCUUCAGUCUAGUUCAAUGCAACCGGAUGUUGCUGUUGGACUCAUUAACAAUUUUCAACAGUGUUGUGGACUCUGCUUUGGCAUCACUUCAAGAGAGGUUUGAAAUUUUUACUCAGGUCAAAGAGAGAUUUGGAGUUCUGCUUGAUUUCAGCCAAGUUCAAGGGAAACGCUGCACUGAGGUAGAGAAGACUGCAGUGGGAGAAGGAGGUUCUGACAUUGAUGGUCAAGAGCUGCUCAAGAAAUCAUAAACCUCCCACAGUUGCCACCACUCAAAACGGCUCUGGACAUGCUAUCAUUUCUUCAAAACAACCACCGUUGUACCCUAACCUUUGGAUUGCGCUGCGUAUAGCAGUGACGCUCCCUGUCACUGUUGCCUCGGCCGAGCAAAGAUUUUCUAAAGUUAAGCUCAUCAAAACAUACUUGCGCUCAUCUAUGGCACAAGAGUGCUUGAGUGGUCUGGCAAUAAUCAGCAUCAACUCUGAAUUAGCAAAGACAUUAUCGUAUGAUGAGCUCACUGAUGACUUCGCUUCCAGAAAAAGCAGAAGUGUGCCUUUGUAAAUUUUGAAGCUUGGAAUGCUCCAGCAGAUGCAGAUUUUUUAUUCAAUUUAUUAUUGUUUAUUUUAAUAACAUUUAAUCGUUAAAAUGUUUUAUUUAAAGUGUAAUUUUAGUUUGUAUUUUUUGCAGUAGAGCAAAAAUUGUUAUGUCUAAAUAAUAAAUUUAAAUAAGUUCUAU